rnacentral:rRNA from 14 species
UCAAGCAACUAAGCGCAUACGGUGGAUGCCUUGGCAGUCAGAGGCGAUGAAAGACGUGGAAGCCUGCGAUAAGGCUCGGGGAGCUGGCAAACAAGCUGUGAUCCGGGCAUCUCUGAAUGGGGAAACCCACCGGUCUUCGGACCGGUACCGUACGGUGAAUACAUAGCCGUACGGGGCGAACUCGGGGAACUGAAACAUCUAAGUACC